CAUGAUGAAAAGUGUUUUUAGGAGUUUAUCAUAUACCCACAUGAACAUGACCUACUACAAGGUCCAGAGAAAGGAAGAGAAAUGGUGUGUACAUGAAAACCCAGUAAAGAAUUAAAGCUAAAAAAAAAUAACUAACUAUAAAACGAUAAGGACCUAUGUUUCAGAGGGGGAAAUACAAAGAACUUUGAAAAACUUCAGGCAGGUCAUUAAUUAAUUUUAGCUUAUUAUUUUCAACUAAGAACCAGGGCAAUUUUAAGUGGUCUGACUAAACUCUUACACUCAUUCAUUCACUUGGAAAACAACCAUUGCUUGCCAGCCACUUUUCUGGCCCCAGGGACCAAAGUUAAAUUUCCGCAUUUAUUUCCCCCAAAUUUCUGACUGAUUGAAUAAAGCUCUGAACCCUGACAGGCUAGCUCAUGUGACCAGCUACUGUCAUAACAUUCAUCCUUGAUUACCAAAAUAGCCUGGCAUUUAGUAGGAGAAAGUGGAUUUUAAGGCUGAGCAGCAUCAAAAUGGUCCACCUGUGUAUCUGCUGGAAACAUUAAACAAGCAAUUAAGUCCUUCAUCUCCAGUCAUUCCACACGGUUUGUCCAGGGGCGUCCAUUAUCACCACAGGCUGUGUUGUUUUAAGAAACCUGAAUUCAGCCAAGAUAAUGAAAAAUCUCCAAGUCAGAGCAAGUGCUGCAUAUUCAGGGGGUUCCUGCAGUUUCUGCCUCUCCCAGCCUUUAUCUUCUAAGGCUUGUAUUAGUUACUUUUCUCACUGUUCUGAUGGAUACGACUUAAGGGAGAAAGGAUUUAUUUUGGUUCUCCGUUCCAGAAGUUAGUUUGCCAGGACAGGACAGGCCUGGUGGAGCAUCUCUGUGGUCAGUGGAUGGAGUGUGUCAAGCCAGUUCCUCACAUCUUUGUGAUUUCCAUUGCAUAUUCUAGUG
ensembl:lincRNA Gm13658 predicted gene 13658